rnacentral:rRNA from 1 species
GAUGAACGCUAGCGGGAGGCCUAACACAUGCAAGCCGAGCGGUAGAGUUUCUUCGGAAACUUGAGAGCGGCGCACGGGUGCGUAACACGUGUGCAACCUACCUUUAUCUGGGGGAUAGCCUUUCGAAAGGAAGAUUAAUACCCCAUAAUAUAAUGAUUGGCAUCAAUUAUUAUUGAAAACUCCGGUGGAUAGAGAUGGGCACGCGCAAGAUUAGAUAGUUGGUGAGGUAACGGCUCACCAAGUCAAUGAUCUUUAGGGGUCCUGAGAGGGAGAUCCCCCACACUGGUACUGAGACACGGACCAGACUCCUACGGGAGGCAGCAGUGAGGAAUAUUGGACAAUGGGUGAGAGCCUGAUCCAGCCAUCCCGCGUGAAGGAUGACGGUCCUAUGGAUUGUAAACUUCAUUUGUACAGGGAUAAACCUACCCUCGUGAGGGUAGCUGAAGGUACUGUACGAAUAAGCACCGGCUAACUCCGUG